AUAUAAAUAUGUGUUCCGGUGUCAAUCAACUCAUACAAUUCUGCCCAUUUCACCACGAAUAUUCUGUUCACUUGUAGGACAUGAAUGGCACAGUCCGUAUCACCCUGAGCGCAUUCUCGGCUUCGGCAGUAACUAUCAAGCUGACACAUUCGCAGAAUUUUCAAACAAUCAUUCCCAAAUCUUUGAUAACACCAGCGAAGAUGUUCUGGAAUAUCUCCAGCGUUCGGGGAGGAUCGCGCGCCAUAUCCAAAACCACUGUUUGCUGAGCUGAAAAAAUUGGGAUAACUUUUUAAUAUCCUCCAGACUAGAAGAAAUCUCAUUGACGAAUAAAUAGAUGAUGAAUGGCAUCUGCCUGGACUUCCGAUUCGUUCCAAAUGAAUCUUUGGCAUUUGGAUGCGCGACGUUUGGUACUGAUCCCUCCGGAAAAUGAGAUUGUGGCUGCGAAAGAAAAUCAUUAUUGAAUUCAAUCCAUCAUCAUAUGCAGAAUUUGGGUUGGAGUUCUGGAGGGAUGGUUUUCAUUUUCAAGUCGGAAGGAAUACACUAAAUUUGAUGAGAGACAGGUUAGCAGGACGACCUAUACACAUGCAAAACAAAUAUUAUUUAAAAAAAAAACUAAAUAUGUAGCAAAUAUUUUUCUUUGUAUGUUCGGUCGUAAUUUUGGUAUUAAAAUUAGCGAACCCGCGAGAGUAAGAGGAAGGAAUUACAUAAAUACACUCUUAGAAAUACUGUUGAAAAAUAAUACAAAGCAGUAUUCAGAUAAGUAUGACUCUACCAAAGUGGCAAGUAUUUGUGUAUACCUAAGUACUUUAUACAACGUAAUAAUAAAUUACGUAAGGUUUUACCAUUUUGGUAACAAAUUACAUAUUAUGGCCCGGAAUAAUUUUAACACCAAGCAGGAAUAAGUUUUAUACCUGCACGACUAUGUACAGAAGAUUUCAAUUUUAUGUAUGUAUAUGCAUUUUAAAUUUUAUUCCAGUCUUACCAUUUUUAUUUGAGUCAUUUUUUGUACUGUAUAUUUUGAAAGUAUCAAAUAUUUUUUAGCGAUUUGAUUACGUGUCGGACUCGAGGUUACAGUGACUGUCAAAAAAUGAGUGCAUUCACUUUAAACACUUUGUGACAAAUAAAUAGGUAGCAUGAAACGAACUGAUUUCGAUACAAUGUUGAGAUGUGUGUCCUUUUUAAAAUCAAGUUUAGAUGAUCGAGAUGAUAGAUGAUCGAGAGACAAUGUCUCGUAAUGAUGUUGUUCUGAGAUUAAAUACAUAGUUGAAUUGUCUCGUCUUAUCUCAAAAUUAUGUUAUUUGGGUCAAUAUAUCUUGAAAUGUGAUAGGUACAUGUUUAUGCAUAUUUGAAAAUAUGUAAGUCCAUCAUGUCAUUUGGUCAGUCUGUCUGCCUUAAUAACCGGUUGCAAUUAAGGAAUUAGAUUAAACAUGUACCUGAAGGUACAUAGGUCUGUAUGCUCUGAUAUGUGGGUGAAUGAGGGACAUAAGGUCAGAAGUCUUUCAAAAUUUUGCAAGUCUAGCAAAACCUUUUUUUCAAAAACGAUAGAUUUUUUGUCCCAAAUUAACUCAGCAGUGGCACUGUAAAAAGUUUGGUAGACUUAAACAUGUACGUAUCUACCUAGCAAUAAAAAUGUUGCUGGUAUAGCUUUGGCACCAUCGUACUAUCAGAUUGGUAAUAGUUUUCUUAUUGGUAUGAAAUUUUUCAUUGCCACAACAUUAUUAUUCGAGUGGUACACUCUUAGAAAUGGGGUUAUGAUUAUAACCAAAAAGGGACGUAUGUAACUCUACCACUGUGGUUAUAAAUUUGUCAUCGAGGGGUUAUAAUUGUCACCCGCUAAUUAUCAAGUUUCACUGACUUGGUGUGAAAUUGUUACCAGAGCUAAUAAAUAUAUAAUCAGUUGGUGACAAAUUCAUAACCACGGUGGUAGAAUCAUAUAAAUACGUUUACUUUUUGUUUAUAAUCGUAACCCCAUUUCUAAUAAUGUAGUAGUUUGAUGCUCCGUGGUAAAUAUUUCAUAACCACGGAACGGUAUUAUGCAGUGCUUUUUUAUCAUUGUGUGCAAAUUUCAUUUUCGUAAAACUAGUGUGUCAUUAAUUAUAUUAAAGGCUCAUUCAGAUAUUAAGACGGCUUUUGGAUCUUCAUGUGCAUGAACGGAAAAGGCUGGUUUGUUUGUAGAAGGAUAUGGGAACAGACUGGAUUUCACCGUUUUUCUGACUCAUGAGAUGGUAUUCACUUGCUCAUAAGUGAAUGAGUAUGAUGCACAAUAAAUUUACAUACAGGUUCUUAAGCAAGAUACUCUUCACAUAAAUAUAUACAGAUACGACAGAUUUGCAUACAACUGCUACAAACAUACAUAUGUAUGCAGAUUAAGAACAUGGGAUUAGACUGGAUUUCAUAGUUCAUCUGACUCAUGAGACUGCAUCCAGUCCACAUGAUCAUGAAUGCAUUGCAGAAUAAAUUUAAAAUUUCUGUAAAAUAU